rnacentral:rRNA from 1 species
CCCGCUGAACUUAAGCAUAUCAAUAAGCGGAGGAAAAGAAACUAACAAGGAUUCCCCUAGUAACUGCGAGUGAACCGGGAAAAGCUCAAAUUUUGAAUCUGGCGGUCUUCAGGCCGUCCGAGUUGUAAUCUAGAGAAGCGUCUUCCGCGCUGGACCGUGUAUAAGUUUCCUGGAAUGGAACGUCGUAGAGGGUGAGAAUCCCGUCUUUGACACGGACUGCCAGGGCUAUGUGAUGCGCUCUCGACGAGUCGAGUUGUUUGGGAAUGCAGCUCAUAUAGGGUGGUAAAUUCCAUCUAAAGCUAAAUACAGGCGAGAGACCGAUAGCGAACAAGUACCGUGAGGGAAAGAUGAAAAGAACUUUGGAAAGAGAGUUAAACAGUACGUGAAAUUGCUGAAAGGGAAACGCUUGAUGUCAGUCGCGUCGUCCGGGGAUCAGCCUUGCUCUUUUGCUCGGUGUAUUUCCUGGUCGACGGGUCAGCAUCGGUUUUGACCGUCGGAAAAUGGCUCGAGGGAUGUGGCACCCUUCGGGGUGUGUUAUAGACUCGGGGUCGAAUACGGCGAUUGGGACCGAGGAACUCAGCACGACCUUAGGGUUCGGGGCUUCGGCCCACGUUAACGUGCUUAGGAUGCUGGCAUAAUGGCCUUAAGCGACCCGUCUUGAAACACGG